GAAAUGCGAUAAGUAAUGUGAAUUGCAGAAUUCAGUGAAUCAUCGAAUCUUUGAACGCAUCUUGCGCUCCUUGGUAUUCCGAGGAGCAUGCCUGUUUGAGUGUCAUGAUAUUCUCAAUUCCUUCAGCUCUUGCUGGAGUGACAUUGGAUUUGGAGGCUGUUGCAGGAAUCCCUCUGGAUACCGGCUCCUCUCAAUUGCAUUAGUGUGAAUGUCCACUUCAUGCUUGGUGUGAUAAUUAUCUGCAUCGUGCUUGAGUGAUACAGCUUCAUGCUUCAAACUGUCGCAAGACAUUUUCUUGACUUCUGACCUCAAAUCAGGUAGGACUACCCGCUGAACUUAA
rnacentral:misc_RNA from 1 species